rnacentral:rRNA from 1 species
AUGAGCGCGAAGAGCAACCAUAAGCAGCAGCAGCAGGCGCGGAUGGUGGCGGCGGCCAUGUCGACCCCGUGCUCCAUCAAGCCCCUGCUCGUCGCCAUCCCCCUCGCCCUCGGCUUCGCGCUCGGCAUCGUCGCCACGCUCUCCCUCAUGGGCUCGUCGGCGUCCUCGGCUCUACCAGGCGCCGCCCUCGAGCUCUUCUUCCCGUCGCCCCCCGUCAACGUGUCCACCCAGGUGCGGUCGCGUCGGCCACGGCGGCCGGUGCAGGUGCAGCCUCAGGCGGCACCGGCAGUCAGCGCCUCGUCCCCGCCGCCGCCGCCGCCCGUGGCCGACGCCGGCGUUAAUAAGCAUGCGGCUCUGCCAGCACAACGACGACGGGCGGCACCAGCAGCCGGCGUCUCGUCUCCGCCGUCGCCGCCGCUGGCUGAUGCCGGCAGCGACGACAAGCGUCCGGUUCUGCCUGUGAAUGCGACCACUGCUGAUGAGGAGCAGGGUGAAGGGACGGUGGUCGACGACGACGAGCGGCUGCUGGCGCUGGCGGCGGCGGCGCCGAGGGCGGUGCGCGUGGGGGCGGGGGCCGCGCCCAAGGUGGCGUUCCUGUUCCUGGCCAAGUGGGGCCUGCCGAUGGCGCCGCUGUGGGAGCGCUUCUUCGAGGGCCACCGCGGGCUCUACUCCGUCUACGUCCACACCGACCCGGCCUUCAACGCCUCCGCCGCCGCCCCGGACAGCGGCUCCGCCUUCCACCGCCGACACAUCCCCAGCAAGGAGGUAAAAUGGGGCCACAUAAGCAUGGUGGAAGCUGAACGGCGUCUCCUGGCACACGCACUGUUGGACCACUCCAACUCCCGCUUCAUCCUCUUGUCGGAGUCACACGUCCCACUCUUUGACUUCCCCACCGUCUACUCCUACCUCACCAACUCCACCAAGGUGUACAUGGAGUCCUAUGACGAGCCGGGAGGGACGGGCCGGGGCCGAUACAAGCGUGGCAUGGCACCCACCAUCACCCCUUGGCAGUGGCGGAAGGGCUCACAGUGGUUCGAGAUGGACCGUGCCCUUGCCAUUGACAUCGUUGCCGACAACGUCUACUUUCCGGUCUUCAAAAAGUUCUGCAAGCGCAACUGCUACACCGACGAGCACUACAUUCCGACAUUCCUCCACAUCCGCCACCCUGAGGUGGCCGCCAGACGAACUGUGACGUGGGUUGACUGGUCCCAUGGCGGGCCCCACCCGUCAAGGUUCACGAGGAUGGAGGUCACGGUGGACUUCCUGCGGUGGCUCAGGGGCGGGACGACAUGUGAGUACAAUGGGAGGACCACCACCGUCUGCUUCCUAUUCGCGAGGAAGUUCCUGCCCAACUCGCUCACCCGCUUCUUGAGAUUCGCGCCAAAGGUGAUGGGCUUUGGCUGA